rnacentral:rRNA from 1 species
AUUGAACGCUGGCGGCAGGCUUAACACAUGCAAGUCGAGCGGAAACGAUGGUAGCUUGCUACCAGGCGUCGAGCGGCGGACGGGUGAGUAAUACUUAGGAAUCUACCUAGUAGUGGGGGAUAGCACGGGGAAACUCGUAUUAAUACCGCAUACGACCUACGGGAGAAAGGGGGCAGUUUACUGCUCUCGCUAUUAGAUGAGCCUAAGUCGGAUUAGCUAGAUGGUGGGGUAAAGGCCUACCAUGGCGAUGAUCUGUAGCUGGUCUGAGAGGAUGAUCAGCCACACCGGGACUGAGACACGGCCCGGACUCCUACGGGAGGCAGCAGUGGGGAAUAUUGGACAAUGGGGGAAACCCUGAUCCAGCCAUGCCGCGUGUGUGAAGAAGGCCUUUUGGUUGUAAAGCACUUUAAGCAGUGAAGAAGACUCUUCGGUUAAUACCCGGAGACGAUGACAUUAGCUGCAGAAUAAGCACCGGCUAACUCUGUGCCAGCAGCCGCGGUAAUACAGAGGGUGCAAGCGUUAAUCGGAAUUACUGGGCGUAAAGCGAGCGUAGGUGGCUUGAUAAGUCAGAUGUGAAAUCCCCGGGCUUAACCUGGGAACUGCAUCUGAAACUGUUAGGCUAGAGUAGGUGAGAGGGAAGUAGAAUUUCAGGUGUAGCGGUGAAAUGCGUAGAGAUCUGAAGGAAUACCGAUGGCGAAGGCAGCUUCCUGGCAUCAUACUGACACUGAGGCUCGAAAGCGUGGGUAGCAAACAGG